rnacentral:rRNA from 1 species
CAGGGAUUGCCUCAGUAACGGCGAGCGAAGCGGCAAAAGCUCAAAUUUGAAAUCUGGCGUCAUUCUGGCGUCCGAGUUGUAAUUUGAAGAUGGCAACUUUGGGAAUGGCUCUCGCAUAUGUUCCUUGGAACAGGACGUCAUAGAGGGUGAGAACCCCGUUCAUGGCGAGAUGACCCAGUCCUAUGUAAAGUGCUUUCUAAGAGUCGAGUUGUUUGGGAAUGCAGCUCUAAGUGGGUGGUAAAUUCCAUCUAAGGCUAAAUAUUGGCGAGAGACCGAUAGCGAACAAGUACAGUGAUGGAAAGAUGAAAAGAACUUUGAAAAGAGAGUGAAAAAGUACGUGAAAUUGUUGAAAGGGAAGGGCUUGAAGUCAGACUUGGUAUUCAGUGAUCAACUGUCUUUCGGGACUGUGCACUCGCUGUUUACUGGGCCAGCAUCGGUUUAGGCGGUGAGAUAAAUGCAAAAGAAUGUGGCUCUGCCUUCGGGUAGAGUGUUAUAGCUUUUGUUCAUAUCACCAGCUUAGACCGAGGACCGCGCUUCGGCUAGGAUGCUGGCGUAAUGACUUUAAGCCACCCGUCUUGAAACACGGACC